rnacentral:rRNA from 1 species
GAUGAACGCUGGCGGCGUGCCUAAUACAUGCCAGUCGAGCGAACGGACGAGAAGCUUGCUUCUCUGAUGUUAGCGGCGGACGGGUGAGUAACACGUGGAUAACCUACCUAUAAGACUGGGAUAACUUCGGGAAACCGGAGCUAAUACCGGAUAAUAUUUUGAACCGCAUGGUUCAAAAGUGAAAGACGGUCUUGCUGUCACUUAUAGAUGGAUCCGCGCUGCAUUAGCUAGUUGGUAAGGUAACGGCUUACCAAGGCAACGAUGCAUAGCCGACCUGAGAGGGUGAUCGGCCACACUGGAACUGAGACACGGUCCAGACUCCUACGGGAGGCAGCAGUAGGGAAUCUUCCGCAAUGGGCGAAUGCCUGACGGAGCAACGCCGCGUGAGUGAUGAAGGUCUUCGGAUCGUAAAACUCUGUUAUUAGGGAAGAACAUAUGUGUAAGUAACUGUGCACAUCUUGACGGUACCUAAUCAGAAAGCCACGGCUAACUACGUG